rnacentral:rRNA from 1 species
UACGUAGGGGGCAAGCGUUGUCCGGAUUUAUUGGGCGUAAAGAGCGUGUAGGCGGCUUGGUAGGUCCGCUGUGAAAACUCGAGGCUCAACCUCGAGAGGUCGGUGGAAACCGUUUGGCUAGAGUCCGGAAGAGGAGAGUGGAAUUCCCGGUGUAGCGGUGAAAUGCGCAGAUAUCGGGAAGAACACCCGUGGCGAAGGCGGCUCUCUGGGACGGUACUGACGCUGAGACGCGAAAGCGUGGGGAGCGAACAGG